rnacentral:sRNA from 1 species
GUUGCACUGGUUCGAUAGGGAUACUCAUCAAUUAAUAGAAAAAACCGAGAGAUAGUUUCUCUUGUCAAUGGCGGGCCACAAUGCAGAUUGGCAAUGAUAGUCACGUGUGAGUCCUUUUACGGCAUCUGGCAUAUAUCACAGUCUGGAAACCGUUAGGUCGGUGGAUUACAAAGGCAUUAGAACGCUCUAAUAUUCAUUACUCGGAGUUUUCAUCACAUCACCAGUGUAACCCUC